CCGCAAGGCUAAAACCCAAAGGAAUUGACGGGGGCUUACACAAGCGGUGGAGCAUGUGGUUUAAUUCGAAACAACGCGCAAAACCUUACCAAUCCUUGACAUAUGAAAAACCAGGGUGUUUACCCGCUCUGUCUCUUUUAUACAGGUGCUGCAUGGCUGUCGUCAGUUCGUGGUGUGAGCUGUUGGGUUAAGUCCCAGAACGAACGCAACCCUCCUUUGAAAUGAAGGUUUACCUUUUUCAAAGACUGCCAAGGAUAUCUUGGAGGAAGGUGAGGAUGACGUCAAGUCCGCAUGGCCCUUAUGGGUUGGGCUACACACGUGCUACAAUGGGAAUGACAAAAGGAGGCAACAUGGCAACAUUGAGCAAAUCCCAAAAAGUUUCCUUAGUUCGGAUUGUUCUCUGCAACUCGAGAACAUGAAGUUGGAAUCGCUAGUAAUCGUAGAUCAGCACGCUACGGUGAAUUUGUAUCUAAGCCUUGUACACACCGCCCGUCACACUCUGAAAAUUUUCAUGCCUUGAAGCAAAAGAAGUUCACCAAGAACACACAGCGCAAUUAGAAAAAACAUCUUCCCUUUUUUUUCUGUGUCUUUGUUGGAACCUUUUCUAGAGUUAGGGAGGUGAUUGGAGUG
rnacentral:rRNA from 1 species